rnacentral:rRNA from 1 species
AUCGAACGCUGGCGGCAGGCUUAACACAUGCAAGUCGAGCGGAGCGGCGGACGGGUGAGUAAUGCCUAGGAAUCUGCCCGGCAGUGGUGGAUAACGUCCGGCAAUGGGCGCUAAUACCGCAUACUAUCAGAUGAGCUUAGGUCGGAUUAGCUAGUGGGUGGGGUAAAGGUCUAUCAAGGCGCCGAUCCGUCACUGGUCUGAGGGGGUGAUCAGUCACACUGGAACUGAGACACGGUCCAGACUCCUACGGAAGGCAGCAGUGGGUAAUGUUGGACAAUGGGCGAAAGCCUAAGCCAGCCAUACCGCGUGUGUGGGGAAGGUCUUCGGAUUGUAAGGCACUUUAAGUUGGGAGGCGUUACCAACAGAAUAAGCACCGGCUAACUUCGUGCCAGCAGCCGCGGUAAUAC